rnacentral:lncRNA from 1 species
AGAAAUAUGAGAGAGAAGUUUGCAUGAUGGGGUCGGGUUUAAGGUUUGUUUUCGUCUUUUAUGCAUGGCUGAAAGUUGAAGAUGGAGAGGUGGAGAGUUGUGCUUGGUUGUUUUUGUUUUUGUCUUUUUGCGUUUAAAAUAAGGCGACUGGUUGAUGUUGUUGUAUACCACAUGAAUAUAGCGUGACAUCCUUCCAUUAUUUCCUUUUUUUAUUUUUU